CCUACGGGAGGCUGCAGUGGGGAAUAUUGGACAAUGGGCGAAAGCCUGAUCCAGCCAUGCCGCGUGUGUGAAGAAGGCCUUCGGGUUGUAAAGCACUUUCAGUGGGGAAGAAAGCCUUGGGGCUAAUACCCUCGAGGAAGGACAUCACCCACAGAAGAAGCACCGGCUAACUCCGUGCCAGCAGUCGCGGUAAUACGGAGGGUGCGAGCGUUAAUCGGAAUUACUGGGCGUAAAGCGCGCGUAGGCGGUCUGAUAAGCCGGUUGUGAAAGCCCCGGGCUCAACCUGGGAACGGCAUCCGGAACUGUCAGGCUAGAGUGCAGGAGAGGAAGGUAGAAUUCCCGGUGUAGCGGUGAAAUGCGUAGAGAUCGGGAGGAAUACCAGUGGCGAAGGCGGCCUUCUGGACUGACACUGACGCUGAGGUGCGAAAGCGUGGGUAGCAAACAGGAUUAGAUACCCCAGUAGUC
rnacentral:rRNA from 1 species